UCGCUUGGCCCGGUGUAUUACAUCUCUCUUUGAACCGUUUGUGGCGGCUUUGUUUGGUGGCGGCCGUCGGCGGCCGGUGGCAAAGCGGGCUCAGAUCAGGGCAGGCGCGCGCGUACGCGUAGGUCAGUCGCGCGCCGGCGAAGGUGGGAGCGCUAAAAUAGGUGAGAGUGGUCAGUGGUUGCCUCGAAGCGAGUCGCGUCGCGGUAGGGGGGCGGAGGCCUAAGAGAGCGGGGUCCGACUUGUUGGGGUGCAAGCGGUGCACGCGAGCGCGGUGGCGGAGCGGCGGAGUCGGUUACUAGAUCUCGGACCGCCUAGACUGCGCCGCGGAGGCGGGGCGGAGGCGCCAGGCCAGUGGCAGAGCGAGCGGCUCCGCGCGCGGAGAGGCGGACAAGCACGGCGGGAGCGGCCGGAUACCCCUGCGAGCAGACCGACUCCGGCUAGCGCCGGGGCCGGCAGGGGCGGCCAGGGAGGCGGCGCGUGCACCACCGACCGCCAUCACAUUUUCCGGCCGGAGCCGCCCACAGGCACCGCAGGGCGACGGGCUUAGGCGCGCACGAGGUCCGCCCCUCCACGGCCACCGACCAACAGUCCAGCCCACAGUGGCGGCGACGUCGGCGGCGUCUACUGGGGCUCCUAAGCAGCCCCGAUAGUCUAGACGUUCACCGAAGCUCCUAGUCUCCCCAGAAGAAGAUGUGCCACUGACGACAACGCCGCUAGAAAAACAAAUAUCGAUACCAACACCAAGUAGGUGAACACGAGAACAAACUGGCUGUGGCAUCCUCUCGAGUCGUGAUAUAACGUUUCUAAACCCGAUGAAACUGUCAAAGAUACAAGAUGUUCGAACUUCAGCUCCCUUACCUCUUAGAUGGAGGGUUAUCAUCGCGACGACAGAUACAACGAUUGGUAGUCUCGAAGAACCUAUAGAUAUGGGAAGAUUGAGAUCCUUCCACGAAGUUUAAAUAUUCGUUCUGAUCAUAGAAAUACGAAGGUUAAUAACCCACCCGUUACAUAGAGAACCCACAGUAAGGAAAUGCUGCAUACCUGUCGUCCUCGGUCGACCUGACAGAAUUUGCCACACACCUAAACAACUUUUCCCCCCGCAGACAUAAAAAGAAAGGUCUCCCCUGAGCUUCAUUUCUACCUUUCGAUCCAUAUAAGUUCGCUCCUCGUAAAUCACAGCGACACUUCUGACCGCAAGGACAGUAUGGAUAAUGGGAAGAGCCCUGUCCCUUUGACUACGGAGGACCUUACCUUUCGUUGGAAUUAAGUCCACGUCAUUUUCAGUAAUAAGUGGCAGGUUAACUUCCCUUACUACGUCUCUUUAAUACAAGGCUGCGUUCCUUACACUAUCGUCUGUGAGAAGAAGAUGUACCAAUACCUCACGUGAUUACCUUCACCCACUAAAAAGGAUAAGUUAUCUAGUACCUUGGAUCAAACGGCUUUGCACAGCUGAGUUCCGUUUCUAUCAAAUGUCCAUGUACAAUGACUGAUCAAGCUAUAAAACUCUUAGUUAUCCUUUACGAUAAACGAAGAAUUCUUCUCGUCGAAAAAACUUUACUUUCUCAAAGGUGCCCGCAGCAUAUAGGAAACAAGUUUAUUCCAAGUACAUCGUAUUACCAUACUGACACGCUUUGCAUAGAAGUCAAAUUUGAAGUUCUUUUUCCUGUGGAAGUCAAACUUAUACACGGGGUGUAAAUCUCCAAACUCUAACAAUAGAGGUGGUGUACCGCCACACUCUGCUCACAGGAGUAUUCUCUGACUUAUAUUGUGUCUACAUAAACCACCUCCUUUAUGAACAUUCAUGCAAAGAUUUUUUCCUUCCUAAGGUUUUCUAGAUGGGAACAAACACGUCGACCAUCUCCACGACUCACGUCUCCGUAAGAAAAACGACGUCUUACUUCUGUCCCCGACCUCCUUCUUAUUCUUACUGAACACGAACAAUCAACGACAAACACUGAACGUUUCAUCCGAGACUACAUCAAAUAGAAAGUGUUUAACAUCAAACGUAAAAAACGGAACAAGAUAUCAUAAAUUGUACUUUUCUACACUACACCGCUUCUUGAGUACACCUGAAUCUACUAGAACGGUAUAAGAUGUGUGACCCUUCUAUUCUAAAAAAAAACACCCACUCUUCUAUUAUUUCAACCGUGCACUAAAGGAAAACCCUGAACCA
rnacentral:rRNA from 1 species